GUGCAAAAGUAAUAGUGGUUCUUGCCAUUGAAAGUAAUGGCAAAAACUGCAAUUACUUU
rnacentral:miRNA from 1 species